AGAGCCAGUGACUCCGUCCUCUCCUCCUUUCUCUCUCUCUUUCUCUCAGCAGGGCUUCAGGCAUUCCAGGACUCUAUCUGAAACACAGAGAGGAGGACGCUAGAGACCAGAAUUUAUGGACAUCACGGCAAACACAGAUUUCAACUUUCCUGCACUGCACGAAAAGCCGGUCCUUAAAAAUAAUGGUAUUAAAAGGAAAGUUACUAGCAAUAUUGACAUCUACACCAGACUGAAAUAAUCCUCCAAUAUGGUGAUUCAGCACUGACAACAUCCUGCCUCUUACUCAUCUACAUCACCAGGAACCAAAUCAGCCGUCAGCUUCCCAAAGUACCGUAUCCCCGACAGGAGACAUCUCUUAUCCAUGUUAUGCUUUCUUAGAUCUUCCAUACAGCUAUAAAAAAAUCUGAUAA